GAUGAACGCUGGCGGCGUGCCUAAUACAUGCAAGUCGAGCGAACAGAUGAGGAGCUUGCUCCUCUGACGUUAGCGGCGGACGGGUGAGUAACACGUGGAUAACCUACCUAUAAGACUGGGAUAACUUCGGGAAACCGGAGCUAAUACCGGAUAAUAUAUUGAACCGCAUGGUUCAAUAGUGAAAGACGGUUUUGCUGUCACUUAUAGAUGGAUCCGCGCCGCAUUAGCUAGUUGGUAAGGUAACGGCUUACCAAGGCAACGAUGCGUAGCCGACCUGAGAGGGUGAUCGGCCAUACUGGAACUGAGACACGGUCCAGACUCCUACGGGAGGCAGCAGUAGGGAAUCUUCAGCAAUGGGCGAAAGCCUGACGGAGCAACGCCGCGUGAGUGAUGAAGGUCUUCGGAUCGUAAAACUCUGUUAUUAGGGAAGAACAAAUGUGUAAGUAACUAUGCACGUCUUGACGGUACCUAAUCAGAAAGCCACGGCUAACUACGUG
rnacentral:rRNA from 1 species